UGGACAUCCUCUCUGCACAUAGGAUGGUCACCACAACACACGAUUCACUUACAAAGAUAGCAAGAGAUUUCCCGGCUGUCAAAGAUGCAGCUGACUGUUUUGUCCAUUGGGCAAAUGAAAAGCUAGAGGAGCAGGAUGAUCUAGAUUUGGAAGUGGAGGCAGCACUACCUCAGAAAAGGCUGAAGAAGAAGAAAGUCUUGCCAGGAGAGAUGGCCCAGGAUGAAAGCCUCAGUGAUUCAGAAAAGGCCUAUGAGGUCAAUGUUCACCACCAGAUCCUGGAUACAGCUGUUGAGGCCAUGCACAACAGAUUCCUCACUCAUGGCACUCUGUAUUCAGAUUUAUCCCUCCUACAUCCCAAAAACUUCCCCCUCAUCCAGACCAGUGGCGGUGCUCUCCCUGAAUCUGCACUUCAAGAACUCAGCAAGUGUCUAGUUGUGUAUGACAGCAGGGCAACUGUUACAGAUCUACAGAUUGAACUCAGAAACUUGGCACAGCAAUGGGACAGGCUGGUACAAUCACAAUUGGAUAACUACGCAACUAAAGCAGUUGAAGAGGAAUCAGAUGGCCAAGAAGAGAUGGAAAUAAUAAGCAAAACCUGUGUGUCUUGCAAAGAGUGCCCCCUGUGCUGCUACAAAAUCCUUCUCAGGUUUAACAUGCUGACUCACGCAUAUCCGCUACUUGGGUUGGCAUACAAGUUUCUGCUAACCCUGUCAAUAACUCAGGUAGCCUGUGAGCGGUCAUUUUCAACCCUUCGCUACAUCAAAAACCGACUGAGGAGUUGCCUGUCUGCCAGCAAACUGGAAGCCUUCAUGUUGAUGGCCAUUGAAAAGGAUGUCCUUGUGUCCCUUGAAACUGACACAGUGAUUGACAGAGUUGCAGAGAAGAGCGAAUCAAUGAAGAAACUGCUUUUAUAAGGGUGCCCUUGCUGUUUUCAGUUGCUCAAGUUCCUGCUCAUCCAAUUUCAUUGCCUUGCUACAUAUUUGUUCUUGUGGACUAUUGGAGGACCAUUCAACAUUUUCUCAACCUGCUGCCCUGUCCCCCAGGGAUGUUCCAGGGAUGUGCAUUUCAUUGGUGUGGACUUCACAGGCAUUCUUCAAAUUU
ensembl:lncRNA